UAAAUACGCACUAUAUUCCUCCUACAACCACACUACAUCGUAGCAAGCGAGUUCAACAGACAGUAGAUCAUAUUCUCCAGCUUCAAACUAGUGCCUGAAAAUGAAUUUCCUCAAAAUAGUUUUCGUUGCAGCUACCGCUUUUGCGGCUUUGACUUCCUAUUAUGUGGAAGCUGUUGAUAGUGUAACUGCGGAUCCCGAAGCCAAGUACUUGAGACCCACAAUGGGCAUACCCAUAUAAAGAUAAAAUGAAAUGAUUUAUGAAAUAUGAACUAAAUAAAAUGAAUCUAAAAAAAAA